UACGGGGGGAGCAAGCGUUGUUCGGAUUUACUGGGCGUAAAGGGCGCGUAGGCGGUCAGCACAAGUCAGUUGUGAAAUCUCCGGGCUUAACUCGGAAAGGUCAACUGAUACUGUGCGACUAGAGUGCAGAAGGGGCAACUGGAAUUCUCGGUGUAGCGGUGAAAUGCGUAGAUAUCGAGAGGAACACCUGCGGCGAAGGCGGGUUGCUGGGCUGACACUGACGCUGAUGCGCGAAAGCGUGGGGAGCAAACGGG
rnacentral:rRNA from 1 species